GUUUACAGCCAUACCACCCUAAACAUGCCUAAUCUCAUCUGAUCUCAGAAGCAAAGCAGAGCCGGGGCUGGCUAGUACUUGGACAGAAGAAACUAGCUUUGAGAUA
ensembl:rRNA 5S_rRNA 5S ribosomal RNA